CGAAAGCCUGACGGAGCAAUACCGCGUGAGGGAGGAAGGUUUUUGGAUUGUAAACCUCAAAACUUAGGGAAGAAGAAAGUGACGGUACCUAAUGUAAGCAUCGGCUAACUCCGUGCCAGCAGCCGCGGUAAUACGGAGGAUGCAAGCGUUAUCCGGAAUCAUUGGGCGUAAAGAGUCUGUAGGUGGUCCUUCAAGUCUGCUGUCAAAGACCGAAGCUUAACUUCGGGCAGGCGGUGGAAACUGAAGAACUAGAGAGAAGCAGGGGUAGAGGGAAUUCCCAGUGUAGCGGUGAAAUGCGUAGAGAUUGGGAAGAACACCAGUGGCGAAGGCGCUCUACUGGGCUUCGACUGACACUCAGAGACGAAAGCUAGGGUAGCG
rnacentral:rRNA from 1 species